AACAAGGCGUACCUGCGGACCUGCGGAGGGAUCAUUACCAGAGUGCCUUCAGGCUCUCCAACCCACUGUGAACAUACCUACGUUCCCCCGGCGGGCUCAGCGCGCGGCGGCUCCGGCCGCCCGCGUCCGCCGAGGGCAUCUCAAACCCGAAUUUAUUCGUGUCUUCUGAGGGGCGAAAGCCCGUAAAACAAAAUGAAUCAAAACUUUCAACAAUGGAUCU
rnacentral:misc_RNA from 1 species